AAAAACAGAUGAAGCGUAGAAGGAUGGAAAAGUGAGUUUGGGUUUUUUUCUAUGGCCAACUUUACUCCAGAUCCCUAGGAGAAACCUGAACAUGAUCACGACCCCAAAUGACACGAGAAGGGCUCCAUAUUUGAAGGAUAUUAUCAUCGGCAAGACUUCCAACCACCCAACGCUCGUUUGGACACCAACUAAAUUCUGAGAUGCGAUUUGUGUGGCCUCCAUGCAUAAAUAGUAAUUCUGGAGAACCAUCCUCGGCAUCCUCCGGAGUCUGUUCCUCUCCAAUCUUUUCUAAAUCCCAAAUACAAACACGGCGAUCAGUUGAACUGGAUGCCAAUAUAGGUUCAUCAUGAGGUGACCAUUCUAACCCAUAUACCUCAUCUUCGUGUCCUUCCAGGGUAUGCAACCGUUGAUAUGGAUUACGGAGGUCCCAAAGAGCUACUGUUUUAUCAGCACUGGCUGUUGCUAAAAGAUAGUCAUUAAAGGGAUUAAUGGCAACGGCAUUUAUGGCUUUAGAAUGAGCCUGAAUAACUUUGGGAGCUUCUUCUUCUGGAUUUAACCGAGUAUCGUGAAUUUGCAAAGUGCAAUCAUCCGACACCGAUGCUAAUAAUGCCUCAUGUUGAGGAUGAAAUUGAACAUCGUUAACAAUAUCAGUAUGACGAUGAUAUUUGGCUAUGGGGGAAAUGACUUUUGUCUCAGAGGAAGUAAAAGAUUGUGUCUGAACAUCCCAUAAACAGAUAACUUGAUCCUCUGCUCCUGUUGCUAGAUUUCCAGGUAAAUUCGGGUUCCAGCAAAGACCAAAACCUUCAGCAGUAUGGCCCUUCAAAACUGCUUGAGGAAGUGCUUCACCUGUAGUUAAGGCAUCAUGACAAGUUGUAUCAAAAAUAUAAGCAUUUCCUCCUUCUCCCAUGGUAGCGAUGAUUUCAGGCUUUUGAGGCAUGUAACGAGCACGAUUGACAUCGCCAUCGUGAGGGAUUUUUUGUGAAAUUUCAAUCGUAUACGAGCCCGUGGCCUGUGCUCUUCGAAUCGUAGAAGGAGUAAACUCGGUGGUAUCCUCAUCAAAGUUUGGUAAUUGCACAGAAGCAAUCUGUAAAUAAUUUUGAUCAUUACCAGAUGUGUGAGUGCCAAGAAUAAGACGUUGAAUAGAGUAAUCAGUACCUGGUAUUCUUCAAGAAUCGAGUU